rnacentral:rRNA from 1 species
UACGUAGGGGGCUAGCGUUGUCCGGAAUCAUUGGGCGUAAAGAGCGCGUAGGCGGCUGGAUAAGUCCGGUGUAAAAGUCAAAGGCUCAACCUUUGAAUGCCGCUGGAAACUAUCUGGCUAGAGUCCGGAAGGGGCGAGUGGAAUUCCUGGUGUAGCGGUGAAAUGCGCAGAUAUCAGGAGGAACACCAAUUGCGAAGGCAGCUCGCUGGGACGUUACUGACGCUGAGACGCGAAAGCGUGGGGAGCAAACAGG